rnacentral:tRNA from 1 species
UUGGGUAUAGCUUAGUGGUAGAGUUCUUGCCUAGCAUGUAGGGAGGUUCUGGGUUCUAUUUCCAGCAUUUUAU